GGGGCAGCAUGGCACCAUUCAAGAAGCACCAGCCUGGGAGACCGAGGACAAGGGACCAGGAAUAGAACUACACCACUGGGAAUUCCUCCAGAAGCACAAGAACUAGAUAUGAAGGAUAAAACUGUUCACUGGUCCAGGUCUCUGAUAAAAUUACUAUUGUAAGCAUCAAAUUCUUAUGUCAUUUAAUAUCAGAGUAAAUGGUAAUUAGAGAGAAACUGAUGGAUUAGCUUAGCUGUGAAGUGUAAUGGUUGCAAAAUUAAAUACACUAAGUAGAAAUUUUAAGCAUAACCACCUUCAAAGGAAAUAGAAUUUUCAAAUAGCCUCUUUGGAAGAUUACUUAAUUCGUGUUUAUAAAUUAUGUUAAAGAUGAAAAGCCUUAUUAAAUAUUAGAGCAUCAUCUAAUACUCUAAUUUAUGCGCAGAAUGACAAUUAUCAAAUUGUAAUUAAAUAGUGAGAGAGCAUAAUGGUAUAAGGCUUUGAUAAAAGGCCUUGAUUACUAGGAUCAGGAUCUAAGUUGAUUGGUCUCAGGCAGCCUCUGUUUUCUCUUGUCAGACUAAAUGCAAUUUUCUUUUCAUGAGAAUUAAAAAAUUUAAGAUCAGAGUGUUUGGAUUUAGUUUGACAUUCUAAAUAUCAUUGUUAAUUGAUUUUGACAGAGCUAAUCAAUUGUCUUUAAAUCUUAAAUUAGGAGUUCUCGUCAUGGCUCAGGGAUUAAUGAACCCGACUAGUAUCCACAAGGCCAUGGGUUCGAUCCCUGACCCUACUCAGUGGGUUAAGGAUCCAGUGAGCUGUGCUAUAGGUUACAGACGCGGCUCGGAUCUGACGUGACUGCGGCUGUGGCAUACACCUGUGGCUACAGUUCUGAUUCAACCCCUAGCCUGGAAAUCCUCCACAUGUUGCAAGUGCGGCCCUAAAAAAAAACCUUAACAUUAAAGAAGCUAACUUAAUCCUAUCUCCUUUAACUCUUAAGACAUAAGGUAAUGUAGAUAUUUAUACAUGAAUAAUUAUUAUAUUGUUAUAGUAAAAUUACUAUAAUCAUUCAUUUGUUUUUAUAUAUGCAUGUUUACAUACAUAUAGAUAUGAAAAGUGAUUAAAAUAAGAUGUAAAAAGUUGUGUAUAUUAUGUUUUUUAAUAGUGGACCUAUAAAAAUCUCCUCAGUGAAUUUCAUGUUUUCAUUUAACUAUGGUUAAUAUAUUGUAUCAUAAAUCUUCUGGCUA
rnacentral:lncRNA from 1 species